rnacentral:lncRNA from 1 species
GGAGAUCGCCCCCCUGUGUCUGCGCAAGGAAGUGCACCCCCGGCCCUGCUGCGCCCCCUGCCCUUCCUCCUGCUGCUCCCCCUCCUCCCCCUCCUCCUCCAGUCUGUCCGCCCGGGCCACCUGCUUCCUGUCCAGCCCGCUGGCCUUCCUGUCUCGACGCCAUGGCGACCAGGAGCGGGGCGGGGCCAGGGGUGACCUCACUUCCUGCUCCUCCCCUGCCCCGGCCUUCCUGGUCCCGGGAUCCUCCGCCUGUGUCCCGGCUGGACCCAGCUGCUCCCCUGAGACCCCCUCCUGCUACAGGCAGGGACCUGCGGAGCAGGCUGGGGGUGAGAGGUCAGGGGUCGUGACCCUACAAGAAGACGGAGGGGAUUUCUCUCUAGAGCUCGAAGUCACAGAGACCAGAGACGAGAGGCUACUGUCUGACUCUGUGAUCAAGGUAAACUACAAUCCCAUUUUCCACAGGAGAGAGCACUAUAAACUAUUCAUGUUGGGCAGUAUCUCCUAUUAAAAUAGAAAUAUGUAUCACAUAUUAAAAUAGAGUAUAACUCAGUACAGGGCAGUGUCACCUGUUACAGUACAGUAUAACUCAGUACAGAGCAGUGUCACCUGUUACAGUACAGUAUAACUCAGUGUAGGGCAGUGUCACCUGUUACAGUACAGUAUAACUCAGUACAGAGCAGUGUCACCUGUUACAGUACAGUAUAACUCAGUAUAG